rnacentral:rRNA from 1 species
ACGCUCGACACCUACGGAGGCAGCAGUCGGGAAUAUUGCGCAAUGGAGGAAACUCUGACGCAGUGACGCCGCGUGCAGGAAGAAGGUUUUCGGAUUGUAAACUGCUUUAGACAGGGAAGAAAAAGGACAGUACCUGUAGAAUAAGCUCCGGCUAACUACGUGCCGGCAGCCGCGGUAAUCUGAGCGGGCGUGGCGAAGGC